rnacentral:rRNA from 1 species
AAUACUGGCCAAUGGGGCGCAAGCCUGAUCCACCCAUGCCGCGUGAGUGAUGAAGGCCAUAGGGUUGUAAAGCUCUUUCAACGGUGAAGAGAAUGACGGUAGCUGUAGAAGAAGCCCCGGCUAACUUCGUGCCAGCAGCCGCGGCAAUACGAAGGGGGCGAGCGUUGUUCGGAAUCACUGGGCGUAAAGCGUACGUAGGCGGAUAGAUCAGUUAGGGGUGAAAUCCCGAGGCUCAACCUCGGAACUGCCUCUAAUACUGUCUAUCUAGAGAUCGAGAGAGGUGAGUGGAAUUCCUAGUGUAGAGGUGAAAUUCGUAGAUUUUAGGAAGAACACCAGUGGCGAAGGCGGCUCACUGGCUCGCUACUGACGCUGAGGUACGAAAGCGUGGGGAGCAAACAGGAUUAGAUACCCUGGUAGUCCACGCCGUA